GACGAACGCUGGCGGCGUGCCUAAUACAUGCAAGUCGAGCGAAUGGAUUAAGAGCUUGCUCUUAUGAAGUUAGCGGCGGACGGGUGAGUAACACGUGGGUAACCUGCCCAUAAGACUGGGAUAACUCCGGGAAACCGGGGCUAAUACCGGAUAACAUUUUGAACCGCAUGGUUCGAAAUUGAAAGGCGGCUUCGGCUGUCACUUAUGGAUGGACCCGCGUCGCAUUAGCUAGUUGGUGAGGUAACGGCUCACCAAGGCAACGAUGCGUAGCCGACCGGAGAGGGUGAUCGGCCACACUGGGACUGCGACACGGCCCAGACUCCUACGGGAGGCAGCAGUAGGGAAUCUUCCGCAAUGGACGAAGGUCUGACGGAGCAACGCCGCGUGAGUGAUGAAGGCUUUCGGGUCGUAAAACUCUGUUGUUAGGGAAGAACAAGUGCUAGUUGAAUAAGCUGGCACCUUGACGGUACCUAACCAGAAAGCCACGGCUAACUACGUGCCAGCCGCCGCGGUAA
rnacentral:rRNA from 1 species